rnacentral:rRNA from 1 species
AACAAACGCUGGCGGCGUGCCUAAUACAUGCAAGUCGAACGGGGAAAGCUUUCGGGUGAGUACUAGUGGCGCACGGGUGAGUAACGCGUGGAUAAUCUGCCUUAGAGUGGGGGAUAACUAGUCGAAAGAUUAGCUAAUACCGCAUAAGACCACAGGAGCUGCGGCUCAAGGGGUCAAAGGUUUUUCGCUUUAAGAUGAGUCCGCGUAAGAUUAGCUAGUUAGUGAGGUAACGGCUCACCAAGGCGACGAUCUUUAACUGGUCUGAGAGGAUGAUCAGUCACACUGGAACUGAGACACGGUCCAGACUCCUACGGGAGGCAGCAGUAGGGAAUAUUGCACAAUGGAGGAAACUCUGAUGCAGCGACGCCGCGUGAGUGAUGAAGGCCUUCGGGUCGUAAAGCUCUGUCGCAGGGGAAUAACACAAUGAAGGUACCCUGUAAGAAAGGAUCGGCUAACUUCGUGCCAGCCGCCGCGGUAAAAC